AUUGAACGCUGGCGGCAGGCUUAACACAUGCAAGUCGAGCGGGGUGAUGGUGCUUGCACUAUCACUUAGCGGCGGACGGGUGAGUAAUGCUUAGGAAUCUGCCUAUUAGUGGGGGACAACAUCUCGAAAGGGAUGCUAAUACCGCAUACGUCCUACGGGAGAAAGCAGGGGAUCACUUGUGACCUUGCGCUAAUUGAUGAGCCUAAGUCGGAUUAGCUAGUUGGUGGGGUAAAGGCCUACCAAGGCGACGAUCUGUAGCGGGUCUGAGAGGAUGAUCCGCCACACUGGGGAUGAGACACGGCCCAGACUCCUACGGGAGGCAGCAGUGGGGAAUAUUGGACAAUGGGGGGAACCCUGAUCCAGCCAUGCCGCGUGUGUGAAGAAGGCCUUAUGGUUGUAAAGCACUUUAAGCGAGGAGGAGGCUCUUUUGGUUAAUACCCAAGAUGAGUGGACGUUACUCGCAGAAUAAGCACCGGCUAACUCUGUGCCAGCCGCCGCCGUAA
rnacentral:rRNA from 1 species